GUGUCAGCAGCUGCGGUAAUACGUAGGUGGCAAGCGUUAUCCGGAAUUAUUGGGCGUAAAGCGCGCGCAGGUGGUUUCUUAAGUCUGAUGUGAAAGCCCACGGCUCAACCGUGGAGGGUCAUUGGAAACUGGGAGACUUGAGUGCAGAAGAGGAAAGUGGAAUUCCAUGUGUAGCGGUGAAAUGCGCAGAGAUAUGGAGGAACACCAGUGGCGAAGGCGACUUUCUGGUCUGUAACUGACGCUGAUGUGCGAAAGCGUGGGGAUCAAACAGGAUUAGAUACCCAAGUAGUCC
rnacentral:rRNA from 1 species